UUAAGUGAAUCACAUGUGCUCUAUUAGGGUAAAAGAAAAGCUUUCACGCAAAUCGCUCUAGAACUUUUUUAUCUUGACUCCAAAGUGACCCAGAAGCAGUGACUUUCCAGUGCUAAGGAGCAUAUCUCACAACCAGAUCAUGACUUCUAAAACACAAGGACUUAAAAGGAACAAGGACUUUUCUGAGAAAUGACUGAUUUCCUAUGACUGAAAAGGAAACUGACUUUACGUUUACCAGAUCCACCAGGUCAAAUGUGAAGGUUUUCAAAUCACCAACGAGUCUCAUUUCGUAUGUGGAAAAGAAAACAUAAAGAGAGAGAUACAUUUUCAGCAUCUUGUGUUGCUGAAAUAUUCAAUUUCUAGUAAUUUCUCCAUUGAGCAUGUAAUUUUUUAUUUGAGUGAUGACCAUGACUAUUUUCACUAUUGACAGCUUCAGUCCUACUGCCAACCGUGUUAGUUACUUUACUUGUUUAAAUCUGAGUUGUU
rnacentral:lncRNA from 1 species